rnacentral:rRNA from 1 species
AUACGGAGGGUGCAAGCGUUACUCGGAAUCACUGGGCGUAAAGCGCGCGCAGGCGGUCUUUUAAGUUGGAUGUGAAAGCCUACGGCUCAACCGUAGAACUGCAUCCAAAACUAUUUAGCUAGAGUGAGGGAGAGGAAGAUGGAAUUAGUUGUGUAGGGGUAAAAUCCGUAGAGAUAACUAGGAAUACCAAAAGCGAAGGCAAUCUUCUGGAACACUACUGACGCUGAGGCGCGAAAGCGUGGGGAGCAAACAGGAUUAGAAACCCUAGUAGUCC